GUUGCAGGUUGUGUGGCAUCAUCAAUUGUACUCCUAAAACAAACUUCACUUCCAUUGAAAGCACAAAGAAAGAGUUUUGAAAGCAGCAAUGGUGUGACCAUGAGGAGCGACAGAAUGGAAGAUCGAAAUGCUACUAUUAUUCAAGAUUCAAUCAAACUCUCAGAAAUGUUCAAGGGUUGCUAAAGGGGCGCAGUUUCCCUGUCAAAGUACUGAUUACACGGAGGUCAGACCCACUGGAAAACUCAACUAUGAGAUCUCCAGAUAAUCAUGGAAGUCUAAGAGAUAGUGAGACGGGACCAAGCCAACAGGCAGAUGGAUCUUUUGAGGAUGAACUGCAAAGUAGAAGCAAUAUGAAAGCUAGCUCAUCUGCUAGCCAGACAAAAUCUCAACGUCAAAUUCAGAACACACAUCCAAUGAAGUACAAAAGCCAUCAAUUGGCUCAAGAGCUACUGAUUUCGCUAGGCUAAUGAAGUUCACAAAAGAAUUAUCUGCAACAACUGUUAUUCUAGGUACCAAGAUAUAUAUUUUUGGAUAAGUAAG